AUGAAUUACAUUUGAGUGAGUGGCGAACUGGUGAGUAACACGUGGGAAACCUGCCCAGAAGAGGGGGAUAACACCUGGAAACAGAUGCUAAUACCGCAUAACAACUUGGACCGCAUGGUCCGAGUUUGAAAGAUGGCUUCGGCUACCACUUUUGGAUGGUCCCGCGGCGUAUUAGCUAGAUGGUGGGGUAAAGGCUCACCAAGGCCACGAUGCAUAGCCGACCUGAGAGGGUGAUCGGCCACAUUGGGACUGAGACACGGCCCAAACUCC
rnacentral:rRNA from 1 species